CAGGUGGCCGAGGUAAUGCAACAUCCAACUUCUCGUGGGAGAACAUGUUCAACAUGCUGGACCCCGUGAGGAAUGGCCAGUUUGCAGUGCCAAGACCUGCAUACCAGAAACAGCCAGAAAGAAGUUUGAAGCAUGGUCGUCAUGAAAACAAUUCUGUUGCCUAGACGACAUGUGUUGAAACUGUCUGGCUUCACUAACCCUUGUGUUUGGUUCUGGUGGGAUGUGACAGAGGUGUUGCAGAUGUGAACAUAACCUACCCACUACAGAGGACAGAGAGGAUAUAUACUCAUAUAUAUUCAUAUACUGCAGGAAACCUGCUAUCAAUAAAAGUUCCACG